CCCUUAGAUGUUCUGGGCCGCACGCGUGCUACACUGAGUAAUUCAAUGGGUAAGGGAACGCUAGAGCAUUACCUAAUCUUGAAAUUUGCUCGUGAUGGGGAUCGACGGUUGCAAUUUUCCGUCGUGAACGAGGAAUACCUUGUAGGCGCAUGUCAUCAUCAUGCGCCGAAUACGUCCCUGCCCUUUGUACACACCGCCCGUCGCUCCUACCGAUUGAGUGAUCCGGUGAGGCUCUGGGACCUGGACGGAAAGAGCGUUUCGCUUGUUCUGUUUGGGAAACUUGGUCGUACCUUAUCAUUUAGAGGAAGGAGAAGUCGUAACA
rnacentral:rRNA from 1 species